CUCAGUCCCGCGUUGGGACCGCGCAAUCGCAUGCUCUCCACCUAUGAGAAGGAAGGCAUGGCCAUUCUCUUAGCGGUCGACCACUGGCGUGCAUAUCUCCAAAAUGACGAGUUCAUAGUACACACAGAUCAGCGCAGUCUCAUUGACUUGGAGGACCAGCGACUAGCGACACCGUGGCAGCAGAAGAUCAUUUGCAAGAUGCUCGGGCUCGGCUACCGCAUCGUUUACAAAAAGGAGUGGAUAACCGUGCCGCUGAUGCCUUAUCGCGCCGGCCUCAGAUCCCUCAAGGGGACCUCGCCACCAUUACAUCGGCAGUACCGGCCUGGCUGGAGGAAGUGGAAAAAGGCUAUGCUGACGACCCGGUAG
rnacentral:rRNA from 1 species